rnacentral:rRNA from 1 species
GACGAACGCUGGCGGCGUGCUUAACACAUGCAAGUCGAACGGUGAAAGCGGAGCUUGCUCCGCUGGAUCAGUGGCGAACGGGUGAGUAACACGUGGGCAACCUGCCCCUCACUUCGGGAUAACUCCGGGAAACCGGGGCUAAUACCGGAUAUGACCUCCUUGGGCAUCCUUGGAGGUGGAAAGUUUUUCGGUGAGGGAUGGGCCCGCGGCCUAUCAGCUUGUUGGUGAGGUAGUGGCUUACCAAGGCGACGACGGGUAGCCGGCCUGAGAGGGCGACCGGCCACACUGGGACUGAGACACGGCCCAGACGCCUACGGGAGGCAGCAGUGGGGAAUAUUGCGCGAUGGGCGAAAGCCUGACGCAGCAACGCCGCGUGCGGGAUGACGGCCUUCGGGUUGUAAACCGCUUUCAGCAGGGAAGAAGCCGCAAGGUGACGGUACCUGCAGAAGAAGCACCGGCUAACUACGUGCCAGCCGCCGCAGUAA